rnacentral:rRNA from 1 species
GAUGAACGCUGGCGGCGUGCCUAAUACAUGCAAGUCGAGCGAACGGACGAGAAGCUUGCUUUUCUGAUGUUAGCGGCGGGCGGGUGAGUAACACGUGGAUAACCUACUUAUAUGACUGGGAUAACUUCGGGAAACCGGAUCUAAUACCGGAUAAUAUUUUGAACCGCAUUGUUCAAAAGUGAAAGACGGCUUUGCGGUCACUUAUAGAUGGAUCCGCGCUGCAUUAGCUAGUUGGUAAGGUAACGGCUUACCAAGGCGACGAUGCAUAGCCGACCGGAGAGGGUGAUCGGCCACACUGGAACUGAGACACGGUCCAGACUCCUACGGGAGGCAGCAGUAGGGAAUCUUCCGCAAUGGGCGAAAGCCUGACGGAGCAACGCCGCGUGAGUGAUGAAGGUCUUCGGAUCGUAAAGCUCUGUUAUUAGGGAAGAACAUAUGUGUAAGUAACUGUGCACAUCUUGACGGUACCUAAUCAGAAAGCCACGGCUAACUACGUG